rnacentral:lncRNA from 1 species
AGAAAUAGAAAGUUGGUUUAACACUGAAAAAUCAAACAACGUAAAGCAUCCUAUUAACAGAAAAGUGAGGGGACAAGCACAUGAUUAUUUUAAUAGCUACAGAAAAAGCAUUUGAUAUUUGAAAGCAAUAAAAAAUCUUCCAGCAAACUGGGAUUAGAAGGAAACUUUCUCAAUUUGAUAAAACCCUACAACAAAUAUCUUAUGAUAAAUAUUGAAAGCUUCACUCUUAGAUUAGGAAAAUUUCAAGGAUCCUUUUAUAACCAUCUCUAUUUAACAUUGUACUUGUGGUCCGCUGCUGCAAUAAGGAAAAAAAAAAAAGACUGAAAAAAGGAAGAAGGAAAAUCAUGAUUAUUCCCUGACAUUAUAAUUAUGUAAAGAAAAACCAAAAUAAUUCUCUGAGAAAUUAUUGAAACUAAUAGGUGAAUUUAGCCAUGUUACUGUAUAUAUGAUAACCAUACAAAAUUCCGUUAGAUUGCUAUACAACAAAAACAAUUAGAAAAUAAAAUUUGAUAAAUGAUAACACAUUUAUUAGCAUAAUAUCCAAUACAUAAGAAAUAAAUCCAAAAAAAAAAAAAGAUGUGCAAAGCUUCAACACAGAAAACUACAUAACCUUACUGGAAAUAAAGAGGAAGGCAAGAAUACAUGAUCAUAGGUUGGGAGAAUCAAUAAGGUAAAGACGUGAAGUCUCCCCAAAUUACUACAGAGAUUCAAUAUAAUCCUUAUCAAAAUCAUGUAAGUAUUUUCUAGUGGAAGUUAGCUGAUUCUAAAGUUUAUGUGGAGGAAUUCUUGCUGUGGUGCAGCAGUUUAAGAAUCCAGCAUUGUCUUUGUUGUGGCAUGGGUUCGAUCCCAGGCCUGGUGCAGUGGAUUAAGUAUCUGGCAUCACUGCAGCUGUGGUGCAGGUCACAGCUGUGGCAAGGAUUCAACUCCUGGCCCAGAAAAUUCCAUAUGCCAUGUGGACAGACAAAAAAACCCACCAAGUUUAUGUGGAAAAGCAAUGAGACAAGAAUAGUUAAGGCAACACUUGGAAAGAAUAAGUUCAGACUAACACUACCAGUUAUGGUAUUAUAAACAGACAUUAAUUAACAUAGCAUGCCACUGACACAAGGAUAGACAAAUAGAUCAAAAGAGCUCAAAAGAGAGUCCAGAAACAGACUCACCCAUAUACUACCAUUGAUCACUGAAGGUGACACUGCCCUGCAGUGAAAAAAAGGAUGAAGUUUUGAAUAAAUGGUGGUAGGUCAACCUCAUAUGACACAGAAAAAUCAAUUCCAGGUGGAGUGUCAGUCUAAAUGUAAUAGAUAGAUAGCAUAGGCAAAUAUGUUAAUAAUUUUAGGGUAACCAAGAAUUUCUUAAACAGAACACAAAAAAUGCUAAUGAAAAAGGAAAAAGAAAAUAAAGGGGGAAACAAAAAGCAAAUAAAGAAAAAUAAGAAAUUAGAUUGUGUUAAAGUUACGAAUCUUUGUUCACUGUUAUGAGAGUGAAAAGUACAAAAUAAUAUUUUCAAUAUAUAUGGUUGACAAAGGAAUAAUAUUCAGAAUAUACAUAGAACUCCUCUAAAGCAUUAAGAAAAGACAGGGUGACCCAAGAAAAAUGACCAAAAGAUUUGCAUAGCCUCAUGUGAGAGAAUAUUGAAGUGCAUUCAAGCAUAUAAAAAAAUGCUCAGCCUCAUUAUUUAUCAGGAAAAUGCAAAUUAAAAACAUAAGGAGGAGUUCCCGUCGUGGCUCAGUGGUUAAAGAAUCCGACUAGGAACCAUGAGGUUGCGGGUUUGAACCCUGGCCUUGCUCAGUGGGUUAAGGAUCCGGCGUUGCCGUGAGCUGUGGUGUAGGUCGCAGACGUGGCUCGGAUCCCGCGUUGCUGUGGCUGUCGUGUAGGCCGGCGGCUACAGCUCCGACUGGACCCCUAGCCUGGGAACCUCCAUAUGCCGCAGAAGCAGCCCUAGAAAUGGCAAAAAGACCAAAACAAAACAAAACAAAACAAAAAAAAAACGCAAGGAGAUAUCUAUACACACCUACACACCCACCAGAUGGCUAAUAUGAAAAGUACUCCAAAGCUGUCAGCAAUUAAAAUAUUCAUCAUCAGUAGAAUGGAUGCAUGCACACAAUGGAAUAUAAGUCAGCAAUGACGGAAUGCCUCACAAACUUAACACUGAGCAAAAUAAGUCAGACACAAUAAAAAAAAAAAAACAAACCUACAAGAGUCCUUUACAUAAAGUUCAAAACAAAGCAAAAUUAAUCUCUAGUUUCAUAACUCAAGAAAGUUCACUCUUUUGGGGAAAAUGCUGAAGGAGAUCUUCCUGUCAAAGUUCCAUUUCAUGAUUUAAAUGGUGGUUAUAUGGGUAUUUACAUUUUGUGAAAAUGUACCAAGCUGUAUGCUAAUGACUUGUAUAUAUACUUAGUUGCAAGACAUUAAUGGUCCAUGGCAUUUUCUUAGCAAGUAACCACCAUUUUUAAUGGAAUGGAUGUUUGUUUUCCUGUAUGUUUUAGUGGAAUGUAUGUAUGCUUUGCUUCGAAAAAUGUUAUGAAACUUUAAGAAAUAUUAUGUUUCCUACUGAGCAUUCAUAAGAACAUUGACAUACAUAGUAAGGAGCUGUGAUAGGACCUAGAAUAUUCGUCAGGGUAAAUUUCAGAUGUCUUGUAGAGUUUGGAGUGAUGCUGUUAUUUAUAUGGGGAAGGGGGAGGCUGAAGGAAACAAACUGUUAAGUUGCCAGGGUUUUCUCUAAAGAGAUUGUUUAGUGUGUUACUCAUUUUUCUCUUUGUGAAAAAUAGCGGAAAAUCUUUUCUUCUACAUAGUUGUAGGAAACGAGCAGCAAAAAUUGUGUUUCCCUCUUCUCAUUGGCUUCUAGAAAACUCAGCUCUAAAUUUGCGCAUACCUACAGAUCGGUGAUUUUCAAAUUUUCUUUUUAUUGUGGCCAUGGUAAGAAACAGGUUUUAUAUCAUGACCCAAUCACAUACAAACACACAUGUAAAUUUGAAACAUACAUUUUUGUAAGUAAUACCCUUACUUUGUGCAGUACCCUUUGACAUUAUCUGCUCCAUUCCAUUCUAACCUUUACAUCCUAUUCCAUUAAAAAUGGUGGUCACUUACUUAAAAGAUUUCAUGGACCAUUAAUGUGCUGCAACUAAGUUUGAAAAAUGUGUUCCAGAGUUCCUGGCAAAUAUUAGGCACUCGGGAAAAAAUUAUUAAAUGUAUAAUGGUAUAUAUUUGCAUAUUAACCUAAUCUCCAUCUCAUUAUUAGCCUCUAUUCCUUUCCUUUGCUUCUUGCUUUUUCUUAUCCUUUAUAACUUAUGUUAACUUGUUACAGUAUAUAUAUAUAUAUAUAUAUAUAUAUAUUUAUAAGCUAUCAUCAUCUUUUCCAGAACGAGCCCCCCUAAAAUGCUUUCAAAGUCACAAAGUAAAUCAUCAGUCAGGGCAGAGCCAGAAGAGAAAGGUCGUGGCAAGGCACCGGUCCAGCUUCUCUGGGAACAGGAAGCUCAGUACCUGUAAGAGAGGUACUUCCUGUCCCAUCACUGCAGCAAUGUCUGCAGCCAGAGCAGAUGGUGGCAGUGACCAUGUGACAGGGGCUCCCCUUCUAACCUUACCAGGAACAAUAUAUACUCUUGCUUUCCAUAAAGUUCUCUUGCAUUUCCGACAGCUGGGAGAGAGACAGCCAGCUCAUUCUGAGAAACACAAAGACACCUUUGAAAGAGUAACAAAGGAUUCUACAAUGACUAUGAAGAAUGGUGUAGCAUCUAUGUGCAUCUCUGUGAUAAAGGAGUUCACAGGUCUUGAGUUUCCUUUAUCGCUCUUUUCAGGGUGUAAAGUCCUUCUCGGGUCAUUGACAUUUAUGUGUCUACAGAAGAGCUAGCAAAUGUGCCCAAAGAAGCUAGCCCAGGUAUGUGGGAAUAAACCAUAUCUUUCUAACACAGGAACACAUUUUACCUUAACAAAACUUUUAUUUUAAAACCUUCUCUCAGGUCCUACGGAACAAAACUUUCCUUACAAAAGGUUCUUGGAUCACUGUUGGGCAAGUUGCCAUCCUGGCUUAUCGUCUACACACAAAGAAAGGAAAACACGUUUUGGGCCAAGCACCAUGGUCCACUUCAGUAACACUGUUUUUGUGAGGACGAGGUUGUGGGCUAAAGAGGGAUGUGAACGUGACUGGUCAUUCCCUUUAGCAAAAAAGGAUCACCAGGAAUUAACAGGGCUGAAAUGGAACAAUUUUUCCCUAGGACUUAGAUCCUAGGCUUUGUUUCUUCUUUAGCUCCAAGAGAGUAUGGAUGCUGCCAAAGAAAAAACCAGAUGUAUUUGCCUUAGUAGUGUGAAGUCAGAAGCAGCCUAUAAAUUCUAAAGCGGGGGCAAGCCUUUUAAAAAAGUAAUAAUGCAGCCAUGAAAACUAAUAUUUAAAAUCACAGUGUUAGAAAUGACCACAAUAAAAUGUCAAAUAUAAAAAAACAGGAUGAAAAACUAUAGAUACAAAAUAUGAAUUCAACCAUUUUAAGGCACAUAUAUAUUAUUAUCUGCAUGGAAAAAUAUUUGGAAGAACACUCCAAAAUGUUAAGAGAAGUUACAAGCACUGGCUAGUGAAAUCAAAAGUGAAUAUUAAAUAUGCUUUUUUUGGCUUUUUUUUUAGGGCCACACUUGUGGCCCAGGGAGGUUCCCAGGCUAGGAGUCAACGCCACAGCCAUAGCAGCUCCAGAUCCAAGCUGCAUCUGCGAAUUAUGCAACAACUCACAGCAAUGCUUCAUCCUUAACCUACUGAGUGAGACCAGGCAUCAAACCUGCAUCCUCAUGGAUACUAGUUGGG